rnacentral:rRNA from 1 species
AGAGUUUGAUCCUGGCUCAGAACGAACGCUGGCGGCGUGGAUUAGGCAUGCAAGUCGAACGAUCUGCUGUAAUGCAGAUAGUGGCAAAAGGGUGAGUAACGCGUGGGUAAUUUACCUUUAGGUUCGGAAUAACUUGCCGAAAGGCGAGCUAAUACUGGAUAAGACCACAACUAGAUAUUUCUAGAUGAGGUUAAAACUAGGGACCCCAACAGGGCCUGGUGCCUUUAGAUGAGCCCGCGUCCUAUCAGCUAGUUGGUAGGGUAAUGGCCUACCAAGGCGAUUGACGGGUAGCUGGUCUAAGAGGAUGGUCAGCCACACUGGGACUGAGACACUGCCCAGACUCCUACGGGAGGCUGCAGUCGAGAAUCUUUUGCAAUGCGCGAAAGCGUGACAAUGCGACGCCGCGUGAGCGAUGAAGAUCUUCGGAUUGUAAAGCUCUGUCAGCCCGGAUGAAAGUUUUUGACCUAAUAUGUCAAAAAUUUGACGGUACGGGCAGAGGAAGCCACGGCUAACUCCGUGCCAGCAGCCGCGGUAAUACGGAGGUGGCAAGCGUUGUUCGGAUUUAUUGGGUGUAAAGGGUAUGUAGGUGUCCUGUUAAGUUCUUCUUGAAAUACUUUGGCUCAACCAAAGAUACGGGGAGGAAACUGACAGGAUUGAGUACAGGAGAGGAAAGCGGAAUUCCCGGUGUAAGGUGAAAUCUGUAGAUAUCGGGAGGAACACCAGUGGCGAAAGCGGCUUUCUGGCCUGAUACUGACACUGAAAUACGAAAGCAAGGGGAGCAAACAGGAUUAGAUACCUGGUAGUCCUGCCGUAAACGAUGGGCACUAGGUGCAUUCCGUUUUACGGAGUGUGCCGCAGUUAACACAUUAAGUGCCCCACGUGGGGAGUACGACCGCAAGGUUGAAACUCAAAGGAAUUGACGGGGACCCGCACAAGCGGUGGAGCAUGUGGUUUAAUACGACGAUACGCGUGGAACCUUACCAGGGCUUGACAUGCUGGAAGUAGAAGCCUGAAAGGGUGACGACCCGUUAAGUCGGGAGCCAGCACAGGUGUUGCAUGGCUGUCGUCAGCACGUGUCGUGAGAUGUUGGGUUAAGUCCCGCAACGAGCGCAACCAUUGUUUCUAGUUGCUAACCUCGAUUAUUCGUGGUGCACUCUAGAGAAACUGCCAGUGUUUAACUGGAGGAAGGUGGUGACGACGUCAAGUCAGUACGGCCCUUACGCCCUGGGCUACACACGUGCUACAAUGGCCGGUACAAAGGGAAGCAAUGCCGUAAGGCAGAGCAUAUCUCAAAAAGCCGGUCCCAGUUCGGACUGAAGGCUGCAAUUCGCCUUCAUGAAGUUGGAAUCGCUAGUAACCGCGGAUCAGCUACGCUGCGGUGAAUACGUUCCCGGGUCUUGUACACACCGCCCGUCAAGUCACCUGAGUCGAGUGCACCCGAAGUCGCUGUUCUAACCUGCAAGGGAAGAAGGCCUCGAAGGUGUGCUUGGUGAGGAGGACUAAGUCGUAACAAGGUAACC